rnacentral:rRNA from 1 species
GGCAGGCCUAACACAUGCAAGUCGAGCGGUAGAGAGAAGCUUGCUUCUCUUGAGAGCGGCGGACGGGUGAAUAAUGCCUAGGAAUCUGCCUGGUAGUGGGGGAUAACGUUCGGAAACGGACGCUAAUACCGCAUACGUCCUACGGGAGAAAGCAGGGGACCUUCGGGCCUUGCGCUAUCAGAUGAGCCUAGGUCGGAUUAGCUAGUUGGUGAGGUAAUGGCUCACCAAGGCGACGAUCCGUAACUGGUCUGAGAGGAUGAUCAGUCACACUGGAACUGAGACACGGUCCAGACUCCUACGGGAGGCAGCAGUGGGGAAUAUUGGACAAUGGGCGAAAGCCUGAUCCAGCCAUGCCGCGUGUGUGAAGAAGGUCUUCGGAUUGUAAAGCACUUUAAGUUGGGAGGAAGGGUUGUAGAUUAAUACUCUGCAAUUUUGACGUUACCGACAGAAUAAGCACCGGCUAACUCUGUGCCAGCAGCCGCGGUAAUACAGAGGGUGCAAGCGUUAAUCGGAAUUACUGGGCGUAAAGCGCGCGUAGGUGGUUUGUUAAGUUGGAUGUGAAAUCCCCGGGCUCAACCUGGGAACUGCAUUCAAAACUGACUGACUAGAGUAUGGUAGAGGGUGGUGGAAUUUCCUGUGUAGCGGUGAUAUGCGUAGAUAUAGGAAGGAACACCAGUGGCGAAGGCGACCACCUGGACUAAUACUGACACUGAGGUGCGAAAGCGUGGGGAGCAAACAGGAUUAGAUACCCUGGUAGUCC